UACGAAGGGGGCUAGCGUUGCUCGGAAUCACUGGGCGUAAAGCGCACGUAGGCGGCUUUUUAAGUCAGGGGUGAAAUCCUGGAGCUCAACUCCAGAACUGCCUUUGAUACUGGGAGCUCGAGUCCGGGAGAGGUGAGUGGAACUCCGAGUGUAGAGGUGAAAUUCGUAGAUAUUCGGAAGAACACCAGUGGCGAAGGCGGCUCACUGGCCCGGUACUGACGCUGAGGCACGAAAGCGUGGGGAGCAAACAGGG
rnacentral:rRNA from 1 species